UAGACAUUGUUCAACAGGACA
rnacentral:miRNA from 1 species